rnacentral:rRNA from 1 species
AUACGGAGGGUGCAAGCGUUAUCCGGAAUCAUUGGGUUUAAAGGGUCCGCAGGCGGAUUAAUAAGUCAGUGGUGAAAUCCUCUCGCUCAACGAGAGAACUGCCAUUGAAACUGUUAGUCUUGAAUUCGGUCGAAGUAGGCGGAAUGUGUCAUGUAGCGGUGAAAUGCAUAGAUAUGUCACAGAACACCGAUAGCGAAGGCAGCUUACUAGACCUGGAUUGACGCUCAUGGACGAAAGCGUGGGGAGCGAACAGGAUUAGAAACCCGUGUAGUCC